rnacentral:rRNA from 1 species
UACAGAGGCCCCGAGCGUUACCCGGAAUUACUGGGCGUAAAGAGUGCGUAGGUGGUUGUAUUAGUCGUCUGUCAAAACCCAGGGCUCAACCCUGGAUCCGCGGGCGAAACGGUACGACUGGAGGGAGUGAGAGGUGAAUGGAACUCAGGGUGUAGGGGUGAAAUCCGUUGAUAUCCUGGGGAACACCGAAAGCGAAGGCAAUUCACUGGCACUUUCCUGACACUCAAGCACGAAAGCGUGGGUAGCGAACGGGG